rnacentral:misc_RNA from 1 species
AAAGUCGUAACAAGGUAACCGUAGGUGAACCUGCGGUUGGAUCAUUACUGAUUACUGUUCUUUAGGGUCGAUGGUUUACCUCCCCUCUAGGACUUUACACACUUUGUGCACCGAGAUUGUAUUUUGGGCUUGUUUGACCUUUUGUCGAGCGAGCCCAGCAUUUUGAAACCACUUUGAAUCCUUCUGAAUUUUUUAUAUUAAAAAAUAACAACUUUUGACAACGGAUCUCUUGGCUCUC